rnacentral:rRNA from 1 species
UACGAAGGGAGCUAGCGUUGUUCGGAAUCACUGGGCGUAAAGCGCUCGUAGGCGGUUGUGUCAGUCAGGGGUGAAAUCCCGGAGCUCAACUUCGGAACUGCCUCUGAUACAGCACGUCUUGAGUCCGAUAGAGGUGGGUGGAAUUCCUAGUGUAGAGGUGAAAUUCGUAGAUAUUAGGAAGAACACCGGUGGCGAAGGCGGCCCACUGGAUCGGUACUGACGCUGAGGUGCGAAAGCGUGGGGAGCAAACAGG